rnacentral:rRNA from 1 species
CAGCAGUCGCCGCGGUAAUACGAGGGGGGCAAGCGUUGUUCGGAAUUAUUGGGCGUAAAGGGUGCGUAGGCGGCUUGACAAGUCUUGUGUGAAAUCUAUGGGCUCAACCCAUAGUCUGCACGGGAAACUGUCGGGCUUGAGAAUGGGAGAGGUGAGUGGAAUUUCCGGUGUAGCGGUGAAAUGCGUAGAUAUCGGAAGGAACACCUGUGGCGAAAGCGGCUCACUGGACCAUUUCUGACGCUGAUGCACGAAAGCUAGGGGAGCAAACAGGAUUAGAUACCCGAGUAGUCCCUGUCUCUUAUAA